AAGAGUGGUUAUAUUAUGUCAACAAUCCUUGCUUGUUGAAUUAAUAAAUUUAACCUGCACUUGUUUUUAUAAAAAUGCACCAUUUCAGGUGUCUGCAACACUGAUUUCACAAAGCACUGAAAUCAUCCCUUUGCAUAAACCAUGCACAACACAGAAGGACCAAAAUGACAUGUCCAACAUAAGCCACCUGUGUUAGCAGGGAGCUCCAAGCAAAGAGAUUUAAUAGAGACCCAGAAAAAAACACGUUCUACAAUUGGCUGACCAAUUCCCAACCACGUAAAUCCAGGGAAGAACUGGGCACAAAGCUGGCCCACAACUGCCUUGUAGGCUGCAGCUACUUGGCCAGAGGAGGAACAAAUCAAAUUCUCUCACUGCAGACAGGACUGCACUUUCUGCCUUCUUUCUCUCCAAUCAUGCAGGAGUAUUGGUGGCUUGGCAGGGUUGAAAUCCCUGCAGAAACAUGUGGGGCAGACAAGGUCUGCUGUGGUCCCUCGCUCUCCUACUCUUCCAUGGGGACAAGCUAUCUGCUGCACAAAGCCAGAACAGCCGGCUGGAGCUGGAGAGACACUCAAGUGUGGCACACACAGCAAUCCUCCUUCCAGCCCAGUUCAGUCCUGCUCCCUUCUACCCAGCUGGGCUCGUGGAUCCCUGCAAAGGGAAAAACUCAGGCUGGACUUGCACAGCAAGAGAAGAAAG
rnacentral:lncRNA from 1 species